AAACCGUUCAGGGGUAAACCUGAAAAACCCAAAAGAUCGAAUGGGGAGAUUCAUCGUCAGCGGUUUUGGCUUCCGUGCGGUGCGCGAUGCACGGUGGGUGAUCCACUCUGUCUCGUUGCACGCGUCCGCUGCGGUAUGUCCGAAGCCGUCGGCGUGCACUUCUCCCCUAGUAGGACGUCGCGACCCGUUGGGUGCCGGCCUACGGUCCGGUUGGUCGACUGUCGCGUCGCGUUAACCCGCGCAUGCGGCAGACCACCGGUAACCCGGCCGGCUGCCCGGCGGUAUAGAUCGCUUCAAUUACGGUAUUGGGCCGCCAUUAAGUGCGUCCGGCUCGUCGGCAGGCUCGCCACGCUCGGAUUUACGGACCUAGUGCCGUUGCCGGGCGCAUGGCGCGGCUGUUAGUCGACGAUGUCCUCGGACUGGCUCUCACAUUCGAACGGAUGUACCGGUCGGCGACGCUACUGCUUUGGGUACUUUCAGGA
rnacentral:rRNA from 1 species